AGCGAACGCUGGCGGCAGGCUUAACACAUGCAAGUCGAACGGCAACACCCUACUUGUUUGGUCUUAUCGAUUGGGAGACGGGUAAGGAACACGUAAAUAACCUGACCUUCACUUUCGUAUGACUUCAGGAAACGAAGCCUAAUACAAUAUAGCAUCUCAUGCUCGGUUGUAAGUAUUGGAAAUUUUCACCUUGUGGGAAUGAACGCGCGGAUGACGGACUAGCUAGUUGGCGGGGUAAUGACCCACCAAGGCGCCGAUCCGUAGCUGGUCUGAGAGGAUGAUCAGCCACACUGGAACUGGGACACGGUCCAGGCUCCUACGGGAGGCAGCAGUGGGGAAUAUUGGACAAUGGGCGCAAGCCUGAUCCAGCCAUACCGCGUGGGUGAAGAAGGCCUUCGGGUUGUAAAGCCCUUUUGUUGGGAAAGAAAAGCAGCAGGUUAAUACCCCGCUGUUCUGACGGUACCCAAAGAAUAAGCACCGGCUAACUUCGUG
rnacentral:rRNA from 1 species